rnacentral:lncRNA from 1 species
CAAAAAUUACUAGUAUAAAACCAUUCAAACGGGAAAACCAACGGUCUAAUCUAUAUAAACAAAACGAGAAACGAGAAACACGUAUAUAUUACAUAAACAAACGACAACUACUGUACAUCAGAUUCCUGACUUAGGACAGGUGCAAACUUUUGCAGCGGGAUUAAACGUUUUAAUGGAUCCAAACCUUCUCCCUUUUUCUGAAACAAUAGCAUAACAUCACAACAUAGAAAAACACACGAUAAAAUAUCAAUUGGCAG